rnacentral:pre_miRNA from 1 species
CCCACCCUCGCUCUAACACCACAGUGUGGUUUGGACGUGGCCACAGUGCCGUACAAACCACAGUGUGCUGCUGGGGCGGGAGCGG